rnacentral:ncRNA from 1 species
GGGAAUGGCUGAAUUAGAGAUUGGCUUUCCUUAUGUUUAAUGGAAAAUUUGGAGUUAUUUAUGUCUCUAAGUACCGAAGCGAAAGCGCAAAUUAUCUCAGACUAUGGCCGUGAUAAA